UGUCUUGCAGGCCGUCACGCA
rnacentral:miRNA from 1 species